rnacentral:lncRNA from 1 species
UUUGGCUUUGAGAUCAGAACUGCAUGCUGUCACGGUUUGAACUAAAAAUCCACCUGCGUCCGUGACAGGGGGCCGUGGGCCCCGGAGGGGCCCUAGGCCGAAAGGAAAAAGGUUCAGCUUCUUCUAGAACCUCGCUUGCCAGUAAUAAACUGGAAUGUUUAAAGUUCCCUCCACCCAUCAUGCUACUGAUGCCACUUGGAGUAAGUGGAUUUCAUUAAUUACUCAACGAGCUCGAAUGGGAAAAACUCAGCCGUCCUGGAAUUCUAGAAGUGAUCAUGGACUGGCCUGGAGUAAAAAAUAUGAAACACCACUACAGAAGAGGCUAUCACGUGCUAAAGAGGCACCACAUACAAUGAGCUACCAGAAAACGAAAAGAAAAUUUGCCCUAUUCACAGACGGAUCAUGUCGUAUUGUAGGGAAAGCAUCGCAGAUGGAAAGCUGCGUAUGGAGCCCCACACGACAAGUUGCAGAGGCCACCGAAGGUAAGGAGAAUCAAGUCAAUUCGCAGAGGUAAAAGGCUGUUCAGCUGGCUUUAGAUGUGGCUGAACGGGAGAGGUGGCCAAUGCUUCAUCUUUAUACUGAUUCAUGGAUGGUGCAAAUGCCUUAUGGGGGGUUGCAACAGUGGGAAAAUGAUAAUUGGCAAACGAAAAGGGUAAACCUGUUUGGGCUGCUGAACUGUGGAAAGACAUUGCUGCCCGAAUAAGGAACAUUGUUGUAAAGGUGCGCCAUGUAGAUGCUCAUGUGCCUAAAAGGUAAGGCUACUGAAGAACAUAAAAAUAACCAUCAGGUUGAUCGAGCUGCCAAAAUUGAGGUGGCUCAAAAUAGACUUGGAACUGGCAGAACAAGGGUGAAUUAUUCCUAGCUCGGUGGGCCCCGAGACUUCGGUCAUCAAGGAAGGGAUGCCAACAUAUAAGUGGGCCAGAGACCGAGGGGUGGACUUAACUAUGCACGCUAUUGCUCAAGUUAUUCAUGAUUGUGAAACAUGCGCAUAUAUAAACAAGCCAAGAGGAUGAAACUAUUUGGGGGGAAGGGGCGAUGGCAAAAGUAUAAAUAUGGAGAGGCAUGGCAGGUUGAUAUAUCACCUUGCCACGAUCUCGCAAUGGUAGCGUUAUGUACUCACCAUGGUGGAGGCAACCACUGGGUGGCUCGAAACAUACGCAGUACCCCAUGCUACCGCCCGAAACACCAUAUUAGGGUUGGAAAAGCAAAUCCUGUGGCGGCAUGGCACUCCGGAAAGAAUUGAAUCAGAUAAUGGGACCCAUUUUAAAAUUCCCUUGUAACCACUUGGGCCAAAAAUCAUGGCAUUGAGUGGAUUUACCAUAUUCCCUAUCAUGCACCAGCUUCUGGUAAGAUUGAACGAUUCAAUGGGUUAUUGAAAACUAUGUUGAAAGCAAUGGUGGCGGAACGUAUAAAAAUUGGGAGAACCAUUUAGCAGAAGCCACCUGGUGGUCAACACUCGAGGAUCUAGUAAUCGUAAUGGUCCUAACCAAUCCAGCUCCCUACGUACUGGUGGAGGGAGAUAAGGUUCCUGUAGUACACAUAAAGAUGUGUUGGGAAAACAGUUUGGGUCCUUCCAGCGUCUGGAAAGGGCAAACCUCUCCGGGUACUGUCUUUGCCCAGGGACCUGGGUGCACGUGGUGGGUGAUGGCAAAAAAUGGGAUGUUCAAUGUGUACCACAAGGAAUUUGAUGUUGGGGGAGUGCAGCCAAUGAUUUUCUUUGUAGAUAUAGGUAGAGCUCAGAAAAUAUUUCAAUUAGGUACAGAAUAGUUCAAUUAGUAUAGGACUUAAGAUAGAGUGGAUCAAUGUUAAGGAAACACUUUUCUCUAUAUACCUUAAUUAGGCAUUCUGUAAGCAAGUUUUCCAUCUGGACUCUAUAUCCUGCACUGGCCAUGCAUGUGUAGAGCACACAUGGAAAGAAGUAUAAAUCAAAAGGAAAAUCUGCUGUGGUGGCUGGGAAAGGAUGAGUGCACCUUGAUGUGGGGGACGCCCUACCAGCGCUGCCUUUCCCCUCUACCGCUGACAUGUUUUCCUUUUUCUGGCAGUUUUGCCAUUUUCUCAAAAUUAAUAAAUAGUAAAUUAGGUUAUAGAGUUUUGUUCUC